UACUACUAACAGCAGCUGCUCUUGUUGAUGAAGCCAAAGAGACACACUGCCCAUCAGCUACGAAUGUGCUUCUGACACCAGCUGCUGUUGAUGGCUAUGGAGCCAACAGUGAUGCCACUCAAGCAGGGUUAGGUUCUUCACAAGGUCACACUGCCACUGAUUCAGCACCAUCGGAUUUUCCAGAAGGUAAUGGCAGUGACAUGU